UACAGAGGGUGCGAGCGUAAUCGAAUUACUGGGCGUAAAGCGCGCGUAGGCGGCUUUUUCAAGUCGAUUGUGAAAUCCCCCGGGCUUAACCUGGGAACUGCAGUCGAGACUGUCUAGCUAGAGUAUGGGAGAGGGAAGUGGAAUUUCAGGUGUAGCGGUGAAAUGCGUAGAUAUCUGAAGGAACAUCAGUGGCGAAAAGCGACUUCCUGGACCAAUACUGACGCUCAUGUGCGAAAGCGUGGGGAGCAAACAGG
rnacentral:rRNA from 1 species